rnacentral:rRNA from 1 species
UACGUAGGGGGCAAGCGUUGUCCGGAUUUAUUGGGCGUAAAGAGCUCGUAGGUGGUUUGGUAAGUCGGAUGUGAAAUCUCCAGGCUCAACCUGGAGGGGUCAUUCGAUACUGUCAUGACUUGAGGUCGGUAGGGGAGUGUGGAAUUCCUGGUGGAGCGGUGAAAUGCGCAGAUAUCAGGAGGAACACCCGUAGCGAAGGCGGCACUCUGGGCCGAUACUGACACUGAGGAGCGAAAGCGUGGGGAGCGAACAGG